rnacentral:rRNA from 1 species
AACGAACGCUGGCGGCAUGCCUAACACAUGCAAGUCGAACGAGACCUUCGGGUCUAGUGGCGCACGGGUGCGUAACGCGUGGGAACCUGCCUUUAGGUUCGGAAUAACUCAGAGAAAUUUGAGCUAAUACCGGAUGAUGUCUUCGGACCAAAGAUUUAUCGCCUUUAGAUGGGCCCGGGUUGGUUUAGCUAGUUGGUGGGGUAAAGGCCUAUCAAGGCGACGAUCCCUAGCGGGUCUGAGAGGAUGAUCCGCCACACUGGGACUGAGCCACAGCCCAGACUCCUACGCGAGGCAGCAGUGGGUAAUACUGCACAAUCGGCGAAGGCCUGAUCCAGCAAUGCCGCGUAAGUGAUGAAGGCCUUAGGGUAGUGAAGCUCUUUUACCCGAGGUGGUAAUGACAGUAUCGGGAGAAUAAGCUCCGGCUAACUCCGUG